AAAGAUCUGGUGUCGCUGUCGUCGCUUGAUGUGACAGUAGAAAAGAUCAAACGGCUGGUGAUGAAGGUCGUUGAGAAACAUAUCAUUUUCAACAAGUUGAUUUAGCAAAACACGGUAAGAGCAAUGGUCUGGUACUCCGGCCAAACUGGUGACGCUCUGAUUAUAUCACUCGGGCUAAUAAAGAUGGUAAUGAAGUAAGAAGUAUUAGUCUGACUCUAGGGUUCCGAUUAAGUUCCGCUAGCUUAGACUUGAUUCCGGGAAAGUACUAUAUGUUGUAUUUCUACGAAGAAGGUAAAUUACUCAAAUAAGUUUUUGUAUGACUUUACUGAUGAGAACAUGACUUAUGUGUGCUUGAUGUUGUUAGUUACUUUUUUUAUAUAUACACAUAAAAUAAGUUAAACUAAUACUUCUUACUAUUAAAAGAUAAAAAUGCAGCUGCAUAUGUGGUUAAAAGAGGGAUACAAUUCAGCUACAAAUGUGACAAUAAAAGAGUCCCAAAUACAGCUGAAAAUGUGCUAAACAGUAGAUAAAAAAUAGCUGCAAAUAUAAUAAAAAGAGGCUCAAAACAUGGUUGAAAAUGUGCUAAAACAGAGAUAAAAAGUAGCUGCAAAAGUGAUAAAAGAGGAUCUAAAAAACGUUGGGAGUAAACGUUUUCAUUUACAGCUGCUUAAACAAGCCGAAAAUUCUAUGGUCGACAUAUUGAAGCUUGCUGUUAUUUCCUCAGUAUACAUUCCAAUAUAGCCUGCAUCACCUAUAAGAUCUGAAUAUGAUGUAAAGCAUGGUGGCAAUCAAAGCAACUUAUAUAUUGAAAGAUUGAAGCCCGAUUGAUCUAAGCAUCUUUUGAUUGUAAUUUAAAUUUUUCUACCCGGGUAUCUUUUGAUCUAAGCAUCUUAUGCCGUUCAUUCUCUCUCUGCGAAAGUGCAAAACCGCCAUCGGUCACAUCCCUAAUCAGACUCGAACGUCGAGUAAUCGCCUUUUUAGCCUAAUCGGACUCCAAUUGUCUUCCUCUGUUGGCCAUCGUCGUUGUCAUAUAUUUGCAGUUGCCGCUUAUCGGCUCCGUCUUUACAGGUGAAAUACAAAACUUUUGUUUUAGAGAUCAAAGGCUCAGUACCUUCUUUUUUGCACUUGGUUGCACACAAGUUGCUCGAUAAAAUGCUUGAAUGAAGUUUUAUUCUCACAUUGGUUACAUUCAAGUGGAUGCCACCAUAAGGGUCGCAACGGAUCAGGCAUGUGGAGAUUCAACAGAAGAUUUAACGUGCACAACAUUAAUGGUUUCUGAAAUUGGUUUGAUAAAGUUGUUCUAGAUCAGAUUGCUGUGCCAACAAAAACAGAAGUUCUAUGUACAAAAAGCUUGCACGUCAUGCUUAUGAAAUUGUUGGGCGGAUCAGUGGAAGACGGUCGGGCAAUCAGUCGAUGGUUAGUGGUGAAGAACUAACUAAAGGGGAUCGGAUCAUGUUUCUUCCCUGUGGUCUUGCUGCAGGGUCAUCUAUAACAGUGUUUAAAGUUGAGUUGCAGGG
rnacentral:lncRNA from 1 species